AGUGAACGCUGGCGGCGUGCUUAACACAUGCAAGUCGAACGAGAACGGAAUAUAGCUUGCUAUAUUUGUCAGCUAAGUGGCGCACGGGUGAGUAAUGUAUAGAUAACCUGCCCUUAAGAAAGGAAUAACAGUUGGAAACGACUGCUAAUGCCCUAUAUGCCUUUAAUACAUAAGUAUGCAAGGGAAACGCUUUAGUGCUUAAGGAUGGGUCUGUAUGGUAUCAGCUUGUUGGUGAGGUAAUGGCUCACCAAGGCUAUGACGCCUAACUGGUUUGAGAGGAUGAUCAGUCACACGGGAACUGAGACACGGUCCAGACUCCUACGGGAGGCGGCAGUGGGGAAUAUUGCACAAUGGACGAAAGUCUGAUGCAGCAACGCCGCGUGGAGGAUGACACCUUUCGGUGCGUAAACUCCUUUUAUAUAGGAAGAUAAUGACGGUACUAUAUGAAUAAGCACCGGCUAACUCCGUGCCAGCCGCCGCGGUAA
rnacentral:rRNA from 1 species